UACGGAGGGGGCGAGCGUUUAUUCGGAAUUAUUGGGCGUAAAGGGCGCGUAGGCGGCCUGGUAAGUCAAAGGUGAAAUCCCUCGGCUCAACUGAGGAACUGCCUUUGAAACUGCCUGGCUUGAGGCCGGGAGGGGGUGGCGGAAUUCCCAGUGUAGCGGUGAAAUGCGUAGAUAUCGGAAGGAACACCGGUGGCGAAGGCGGUUCUCUGGGCA
rnacentral:rRNA from 1 species